rnacentral:rRNA from 1 species
GUAGCGUGAAGGAUGACUGCCUAUGGGUUGUAAACUUCUUUUAUAAAGGAAUAAGUCGGGUAUGCAUACCCGUUUGCAUGUACUUUAUGAAUAGGGAUCGGCUAACUCCGUGCCAGCAGCCGCGGUAAUACGGAGGAUCCGAGCGUUAUCCGGAUUUAUUGGGUUUAAAGGGAGCGUAGAUGGAUGUUUAAGUCAGUUGUGAAAGUUUGCGGCUCAACCGUAAAAUUGCAGUUGAUACUGGAUAUCUUGAGUGCAGUUGAGGCAGGCGGAAUUCGUGGUGUAGCGGUGAAAUGCUUAGAUAUCACGAAGAACUUUGAUUGCGAAGGCAGCCUGCUAAGCUGCAACUGACAUUGAGGCUCGAAAGUGUGGGUA